rnacentral:rRNA from 1 species
AGAGUUUGAUCCUGGCUCAGAACGAACGCUGGCGGCGUACUUAACACAUGCAAGUCGAACGCGAAAAUUUCCUUCGGGAAAUGAGUAGAGUGGCGCACGGGUGAGUAACGCGUAGAUAAUCUACCCCCAUAUUUGGGAUAACAUCGGGAAACUGGUGCUAAUACCGGAUACACUUAUUACCACGCGAGUGGAAAUGAGGAAAGGAGACCUCUUCUUGAAAGUUUCUGUAUAGGGAUGAGUCUGCGUACCAUUAGCUAGUAGGUGGGGUAAGAGCCUACCUAGGCGACGAUGGUUAGCGGGUCUGAGAGGAUGAUCCGCCACACUGGAACUGGAACACGGACCANACUCCUACGGGAGGCAGCAGUGAGGAAUAUUGCGCAAUGGGGGAAACCCUGACGCAGUGACGCCGCGUGAGUGAAGAAGGUCUUCG